UUAACAGUCCUGGAGUCUGAAGUUCUGUUCAGCCACAAAACAGAGCAAAGAUGACAGCGGGUCAGAUUUACACAUGCUGCUCACCUUCUGUUCCUUAAUUGUGUUCUGCAGAGACCAUGUCUAAGGACAGAACUAGUUUCAUUUUCAUGCCCAUUUAAUCUCUGGCUUCU
rnacentral:sRNA from 1 species